rnacentral:rRNA from 1 species
UACGGAGGGGGUUAGCGUUGUUCGGAAUUACUGGGCGUAAAGCGCGCGUAGGUGGUUUGUUAAGUCAGAUGUGAAAGCCCAGGGCUCAACCUUGGAACUGCAUCUGAUACUGGCAGGCUAGAGUAUGGUAGAGGGAGGUAGAAUUCCACGUGUAGCGGUGAAAUGCGUAGAGAUGUGGAGGAAUACCAGUGGCGAAGGCGGCCUCCUGGACCAAUACUGACACUGAGGUGCGGAAAAGCGAUGGGGAGCA